rnacentral:rRNA from 1 species
CGCGGCCUAUCAGCUUGUUGGUGGGGUAGUGGCUUACCAAGGCUUUGACGGGUAGCCGGCCUGAGAGGGUGACCGGCCACAUUGGGACUGAGAUACGGCCCAGACUCCUACGGGAGGCAGCAGUGGGGAAUAUUGCACAAUGGGUGGAAGCCUGAUGCAGCAACGCCGUGUGCGGGAUGACGGCCUUCGGGUUGUAAACCGCUUUCGCUCAUGACGAAGCUUUGUGUGACGGUAGUGGGUAAAGAAGCACCGGCUAACUACGUGCCAGCAGCCGCGGUGAUACGUAGGGUGCGAGCGUUGUCCGGAUUUAUUGGGCGUAAAGGGCUCGUAGGUGGUUGAUCGCGUCGGAAGUGUAAUCUUGGGGCUUAACCCUGAGCGUGCUUUUGAUACGGGUUGACUUGAGGAAGGUAGGGGAGAAUGGAAUUCCUGGUGGAGCGGUGGAAUGCGCAGAUAUCAGGAGGAACACCAGUGGCGAAGGCGGUUCUCUGGGCCUUUCCUGACGCUGAGGAGCGAAAGCGUGGGGAGCGAACAGGCUUAGAUACCCUGGUAGUCCACGCUGUAAACGGUGGGUACUAGGUGUGGGGUCCAUUCCACGGGUUCCGUGCCGUAGCUAACGCUUUAAGUACCCCGCCUGGGGAGUACGG